rfam:Schistosoma haematobium scaffold880_6, whole genome shotgun sequence.
UCACCGUUGACGAGUCCCACAAUAGGACGAAACGGCCGUCCAGUGC